UCAACCAUAUGGAAAACUUGUC
rnacentral:siRNA from 1 species